UACCUCCCCAGCCAGCAUGUGGAGAAUGGCUGAUACCCUAUCAGCUUCAGAAACCAGAGGUAUCUAUUCUGCUCCCAGAUUGACAGUAGCUGGUGAUUGUAAGACGUCAUGUGACAGUA
rnacentral:snoRNA from 1 species